rnacentral:rRNA from 1 species
CCUACGGGUGGCAGCAGUGGGGAAUAUUGGGCAAUGGGCGCAAGCCUGACCCAGCAACGCCGCGUGAAGGAAGACUGCUUUCGGGUUGUAAACUUCUUUUGUUAGGGAAGUGUAGAAGACGGUACCUGACGAAUAAGCCAUGGCUAACUACGUGCCAGCAGCUGCGGUAAUACGUAGGUGGGCAGUGUUGUCCGGAUUUCCUGGGUGUAAAGGGCGUGUAGCCGGGUUGACAAGUCAGAUGUGAAAUCCUGGGGCUUAACCGGCGAACUGCAUUUGAAACUGUUGAUCUUGAGUACUGGAGAGGAAGGCGGAAUUCCUGGUGUAGGGGUGAAAUGCGGAGAUAUUAGGAGGAACACCAGUGGCGAAGGCGGUCUGCUGGACAGCAACUGACGGUGAGGCGCGAAAGCGUGGGGAGCAAACAGGAUUAGAUACCCUGGUAGUC